CGAAGUAAGGCAUCUGUUCUUUUUGUGCAUCCAACUGUCAUGAGGUGUCUCAACAGAAGGUUGACCCUUCCCUAACCGAAUGGGCGUCUCCUCUCCUUCCAAAGAUAAUCCAAAGAUAACCUGUAAAUCAAGUUCAGCCCAUGAUAGAAUUCAGGUACAACUGACCAACAUUAACGUUAGGGCCAAGAUCCUAAGACUGACAAACAGAUGCUUCAUGACGACUAGACACCAACAUGACAGAGAGCAGGCCCUGAAAGAAAUCAAAGCAUUUUACCUUCAAUCCUCUUUUAUUAUUCUGGGGGGCAAGGUGUAUUUCACCACAUACCUGAAUAGAUCUCUUUCCUUCAAGUGUCAACAUUGCUGA
rnacentral:lncRNA from 1 species